rnacentral:rRNA from 1 species
UACGUAGGGGGCAAGCGUUGUCCGGAUUUAUUGGGCGUAAAGAGCGUGUAGGCGGCCAGCCAGGUCCGUUGUGAAAACUCGAGGCUCAACCUCGAGAUGUCGAUGGAAACCGUCUGGCUAGAGUCCGGAAGAGGAGUGUGGAAUUCCUGGUGUAGCGGUGAAAUGCGCAGAUAUCAGGAAGAACACCUAUGGCGAAGGCAGCACUCUGGGACGGUACUGACGCUGAGACGCGAAAGCGUGGGGAGCGAACAGG